ensembl:lncRNA
UGAUUCGCCAUGAAAAAUGAAGUUGCUAUAACUCAGACAUACAAUGUCCAAUCUGCCACAAACUUCACAUGUUUGAUAAGACUCCUGACCUGAACAGAUUGACAUGCCCAUAUUCAGUUAUAGUCAUAGCGCCACCUACUGGCAACAGGAAGUGACAUAUUUUACGCUGUAACAAACUACCCCAAGAAAUUUUAUGACAUAAUUCUUUUUUUUUCAGUCACUCUAUUCUAAAGGCCUGGGCGAUGUUAAAUUGUGAAGAUCUUGAGUUUUCGUUAAAGGGCGUGUCCAUGGCGCGGUCACAAAGUUCGAUGUCUCGCCAUGGGAAUAAAAGUUAUUGUAACUCAGGCAUAAAAUGUCCGAUCUUGCCCAAACUUCACAUGUUCGAUAAGAGUCCUGGCCUGAACACAUCUGAAGGCCAAUAUUCCAUUGGGUGUGGAAAAAUGUCUCGAUAGCGCCACCUAUACAUUUUCAACGGAGUGCGCCUCGAGCUACGUUUCACGUACAUGUACAAAAAUCGGUACACACAUGUAACACACCAAUACCUACAAAAAAG